rnacentral:rRNA from 1 species
CGUAAACAGAGGGAAGCGAGCCUGCGAGGGGGAGCGAAUCCCAAAAAUAAACGUCCCAGUUCGGAUUGUAGUCUGCAACCCGACUACAUGAAGCUGGAAUCGCUAGUAAUCGCGGAUCAGAAUGCCGCGGUGAAUACGUUCCCGGGUCUUGUACACACCGCCCGUCACACCAUGAGAGUUGGCAACACCCGAAGUCAGUAGCCUAACCGAAAGGAGGGCGCUGCCGAAGGUGGGGUCGAUGAUUGGGGUGAAGUCGUAACAAGGUAAC